rnacentral:rRNA from 1 species
GGGUUGUGAGGUUAAGCGACUAAGCGUACACGGUGGAUGCCCUGGCAGUCAGAGGCGAUGAAGGACGUGCUAAUCUGCGAUAAGCGUCGGUAAGGUGAUAUGAACCGUUAUAACCGGCGAUUUCCGAAUGGGGAAACCCAGUGUGUUUCGACACACUAUCAUUAACUGAAUCCAUAGGUUAAUGAGGCGAACCGGGGGAACUGAAACAUCUAAGUACCCCGAGGAAAAGAAAUCAACCGAGAUUCCCCCAGUAGCGGCGAGCGAACGGGGAGCAGCCCAGAGCCUGAAUCAGUAUGUGUGUUAGUGGAAGCGUCUGGAAAGGCGCGCGAUACAGGGUGACAGCCCCGUACACAAAAAUGCACAUGCUGUGAGCUCGAUGAGUAGGGCGGGACACGUGGUAUCCUGUCUGAAUAUGGGGGGACCAUCCUCCAAGGCUAAAUACUCCUGACUGACCGAUAGUGAACCAGUACCGUGAGGGAAAGGCGAAAAGAACCCCGGCGAGGGGAGUGAAAAAGAACCUGAAACCGUGUACGUACAAGCAGUGGGAGCACGCUUAGGCGUGUGACUGCGUACCUUUUGUAUAAUGGGUCAGCGACUUAUAUUCUGUAGCAAGGUUAACCGAAUAGGGGAGCCGAAGGGAAACCGAGUCUUAACUGGGCGUUAAGUUGCAGGGUAUAGACCCGAAACCCGGUGAUCUAGCCAUGGGCAGGUUGAAGGUUGGGUAACACUAACUGGAGGACCGAACCGACUAAUGUUGAAAAAUUAGCGGAUGACUUGUGGCUGGGGGUGAAAGGCCAAUCAAACCGGGAGAUAGCUGGUUCUCCCCGAAAGCUAUUUAGGUAGCGCCUCGUGAAUUCAUCUCCGGGGGUAGAGCACUGUUUCGGCAAGGGGGUCAUCCCGACUUACCAACCCGAUGCAAACUGCGAAUACCGGAGAAUGUUAUCACGGGAGACACACGGCGGGUGCUAACGUCCGUCGUGAAGAGGGAAACAACCCAGACCGCCAGCUAAGGUCCCAAAGUCAUGGUUAAGUGGGAAACGAUGUGGGAAGGCCCAGACAGCCAGGAUGUUGGCUUAGAAGCAGCCAUCAUUUAAAGAAAGCGUAAUAGCUCACUGGUCGAGUCGGCCUGCGCGGAAGAUGUAACGGGGCUAAACCAUGCACCGAAGCUGCGGCAGCGACACUAUGUGUUGUUGGGUAGGGGAGCGUUCUGUAAGCCUGUGAAGGUGUACUGUGAGGUAUGCUGGAGGUAUCAGAAGUGCGAAUGCUGACAUAAGUAACGAUAAAGCGGGUGAAAAGCCCGCUCGCCGGAAGACCAAGGGUUCCUGUCCAACGUUAAUCGGGGCAGGGUGAGUCGACCCCUAAGGCGAGGCCGAAAGGCGUAGUCGAUGGGAAACAGGUUAAUAUUCCUGUACUUGGUGUUACUGCGAAGGGGGGACGGAGAAGGCUAUGUUGGCCGGGCGACGGUUGUCCCGGUUUAAGCGUGUAGGCUGGUUUUCCAGGCAAAUCCGGAAAAUCAAGGCUGAGGCGUGAUGACGAGGCACUACGGUGCUGAAGUAACAAAUGCCCUGCUUCCAGGAAAAGCCUCUAAGCAUCAGGUAACAUCAAAUCGUACCCCAAACCGACACAGGUGGUCAGGUAGAGAAUACCAAGGCGCUUGAGAGAACUCGGGUGAAGGAACUAGGCAAAAUGGUGCCGUAACUUCGGGAGAAGGCACGCUGAUAUGUAGGUGAAGUCCCUCGCGGAUGGAGCUGAAAUCAGUCGAAGAUACCAGCUGGCUGCAACUGUUUAUUAAAAACACAGCACUGUGCAAACACGAAAGUGGACGUAUACGGUGUGACGCCUGCCCGGUGCCGGAAGGUUAAUUGAUGGGGUCAGCGCAAGCGAAGCUCUUGAUCGAAGCCCCGGUAAACGGCGGCCGUAACUAUAACGGUCCUAAGGUAGCGAAAUUCCUUGUCGGGUAAGUUCCGACCUGCACGAAUGGCGUAAUGAUGGCCAGGCUGUCUCCACCCGAGACUCAGUGAAAUUGAACUCGCUGUGAAGAUGCAGUGUACCCGCGGCAAGACGGAAAGACCCCGUGAACCUUUACUAUAGCUUGACACUGAACAUUGAGCCUUGAUGUGUAGGAUAGGUGGGAGGCUUUGAAGUGUGGACGCCAGUCUGCAUGGAGCCGACCUUGAAAUACCACCCUUUAAUGUUUGAUGUUCUAACGUUGACCCGUGAUCCGGGUUGCGGACAGUGUCUGGUGGGUAGUUUGACUGGGGCGGUCUCCUCCUAAAGAGUAACGGAGGAGCACGAAGGUUGGCUAAUCCUGGUCGGACAUCAGGAGGUUAGUGCAAUGGCAUAAGCCAGCUUGACUGCGAGCGUGACGGCGCGAGCAGGUGCGAAAGCAGGUCAUAGUGAUCCGGUGGUUCUGAAUGGAAGGGCCAUCGCUCAACGGAUAAAAGGUACUCCGGGGAUAACAGGCUGAUACCGCCCAAGAGUUCAUAUCGACGGCGGUGUUUGGCACCUCGAUGUCGGCUCAUCACAUCCUGGGGCUGAAGUAGGUCCCAAGGGUAUGGCUGUUCGCCAUUUAAAGUGGUACGCGAGCUGGGUUUAGAACGUCGUGAGACAGUUCGGUCCCUAUCUGCCGUGGGCGCUGGAGAACUGAGGGGGGCUGCUCCUAGUACGAGAGGACCGGAGUGGACGCAUCACUGGUGUUCGGGUUGUCAUGCCAAUGGCACUGCCCGGUAGCUAAAUGCGGAAGAGAUAAGUGCUGAAAGCAUCUAAGCACGAAACUUGCCCCGAGAUGAGUUCUCCCUGACCCUUUAAGGGUCCUGAAGGAACGUUGAAGACGACGACGUUGAUAGGCCGGGUGUGUAAGCGCAGCGAUGCGUUGAGCUAACCGGUACUAAUGAACCGUGAGGCUUAACCUUACAACGCCGAAG